UACGGGGGGGGCAAGCGUUGUUCGGAAUUACUGGGCGUAAAGGGUUCGUAGGUGGCUCGCUAAGUCAGACGUGAAAUCCCUCAGCUUAACUGGGGAACUGCGUCUGAGACUGGCGAGCUCAAGUGCAGGAGAGGAACGCGGAAUUCCAGGUGUAGCGGUGAAAUGCGUAGAUAUCUGGAGGAACACCGGUGGCGAAGGCGGCGUUCUGGACUGCAACUGACACUGAGGGAACGAAAGCCAGGGGAGCAAACGGG
rnacentral:rRNA from 1 species